GGUUCAGGAUGAACGCUAGCGACAGGCCUAACACAUGCAAGUCGAGGGGCAGCACAAGGAGCAAUCUGAGGUGGCGACCGGCGCACGGGUGAGUAACACGUAUGCAACCUGCCUGUAAGCGGGGAAUAACCCGUUGAAAGACGGACUAAUACCGCAUAAUACUAAAUUACUGCAUGGUAAUUUAUUUAAACAUUUAUGGCUUACAGAUGGGCAUGCGCAUGAUUAGCUAGUUGGAGAGGUAACGGCUCCCCAAGGCAACGAUCAUUAGGGGUUCUGAGAGGAAGGUCCCCCACACUGGUACUGAGACACGGACCAGACUCCUACGGGAGGCAGCAGUGAGGAAUAUUGGUCAAUGGACGAGAGUCUGAACCAGCCAAGUCGCGUGCAGGAAGAAUGUCCCUAUGGAUUGUAAACUGCUUUUGCAGGGGAAUAAAGUGCAUCACGUGUGAUGUUUUGUAUGUACUCUGCGAAUAAGGAUCGGCUAACUCCGUGCCAGCCGCCGC
rnacentral:rRNA from 1 species